rnacentral:sRNA from 1 species
UCAAGAAGAAGGAAGGUGUGCCGGAGGGUCUUUACAUGUGAUGUGCUCACUGGUCGCCAGUGACGGGGUGGGUAACCUUGUAGGACGAAUAUAUAUUUGAUUUAUCACAUAGGCUAUGCUGCCUUGGUUUGUAAAAUACUUGUGAAAUUUGUUUUGUUACUUCUUGGGAUGGAGUUGGAUAGAACAAAUUGCAUUUCUCAUGAUUUGCCUUCUCAAGUACUGCACUGAAUAAUGAACUGUGGCU